rnacentral:rRNA from 1 species
AUUGAACGCUGGCGGCAGGCUUAACACAUGCAAGUCGAGCGGGGAAAGGUAGCUUGCUACCUGACCUAGCGGCGGACGGGUGAGUAAUGCUUAGGAAUCUGCCUAUUAGUGGGGGACAACAUCUCGAAAGGGAUGCUAAUACCGCAUACGUCCUACGGGAGAAAGCAGGGGACCUUCGGGCCUUGCGCUAAUAGAUGAGCCUAAGUCGGAUUAGCUAGUUGGUGGGGUAAAGGCCUACCAAGGCGACGAUCUGUAGCGGGUCUGAGAGGAUGAUCCGCCACACUGGGACUGAGACACGGCCCAGACUCCUACGGGAGGCAGCAGUGGGGAAUAUUGGACAAUGGGGGGAACCCUGAUCCAGCCAUGCCGCGUGUGUGAAGAAGGCCUUUUGGUUGUAAAGCACUUUAAGCGAGGAGGAGGCUACCGAGAUUAAUACUCUUGGAUAGUGGACGUUACUCACAGAAUAAGCACCGGCUAACUCUGUG